rnacentral:rRNA from 1 species
CCAGACUCCUACGGGAGGCAGCAGUAGGGAAUCUUCGGCAAUGGACGAAAGUCUGACCGAGCAACGCCGCGUGAGUGAAGAAGGUUUUCGGAUCGUAAAACUCUGUUGGUAGAGAAGAACGUUGGUGAGAGUGGAAAGCUCAUCAAGUGACGGUAACUACCCAGAAAGGGACGGCUAACUACGUGCCAGCAGCCGCGGUAAUACGUAGGUCCCGAGCGUUGUCCGGAUUUAUUGGGCGUAAAGCGAGCGCAGGUGGUUUAUUAAGUCUGGUGUAAAAGGCAGUGGCUCAACCAUUGUAUGCAUUGGAAACUGGUAGACUUGAGUGCAGGAGAGGAGAGUGGAAUUCCAUGUGUAGCGGUGAAAUGCGUAGAUAUAUGGAGGAACACCGGUGGCGAAAGCGGCUCUCUGGCCUGUAACUGACACUGAGGCUCGAAAGCGUGGGGAGCAAACAGGAUUAGAUACCCUGGUAGUCCACGCCGUAAACGAUGAGUGCUAGAUGUAGGGAGCUAUAAGUUCUCUGUAUCGCAGCUAACGCAAUAAGCACUCCGCCUG